UACCAUGCAGUCGACGAUGAACCGCUUUCGGGCGGGGAUUAGUGGCGAACGGGUGAGUAACACGUGGGCAAUCUGCCCUGCACUCUGGGACAAGCCCUGGAAACGGGGUCUAAUACCGGAUAUGACUGUCCAUCGCAUGGUGGAUGGUGUAAAGCUCCGGCGGUGCAGGAUGAGCCCGCGGCCUAUCAGCUUGUUGGUGAGGUAGUGGCUCACCAAGGCGACGACGGGUAGCCGGCCUGAGAGGGCGACCGGCCACACUGGGACUGAGACACGGCCCAGACUCCUACGGGAGGCAGCAGUGGGGAAUAUUGCACAAUGGGCGAAAGCCUGAUGCAGCGACGCCGCGUGAGGGAUGACGGCCUUCGGGUUGUAAACCUCUUUCAGCAGGGAAGAAGCGAAAGUGACGGUACCUGCAGAAGAAGCGCCGGCUAACUACGUGCCAGCAGCCGCGGUAAUACA
rnacentral:rRNA from 1 species